rnacentral:lncRNA from 1 species
CCAGCUAAAGCUACUCUCAACAUAAAAGACAAAUCAGAACUUCUCAGUGCUACUUUCAGGAAUGUAUUCUCUCUGACCUCACUAGCUGCCUUACAAGAACAGGCUUGGGGUACMCUUGUUGCCAAGAAAUGCAAGUUAACUCUCUUCCAUUGUGCACUGUUCACAAAGUGACAUAACAUAAAACAGUGAUCCACAAGCUGGUAUGGAACAACAUAAUGGAGGCCAUGCCAUUUGUCUUGGAAAGUACGCUGCAAAAUAACUAUAAUCAUAACUCCCAGUUCCUGUCACAAGCCCUAGGCUAUCUUCAAGGUCCAGAUGUAGUGAUGAGAGAUGCUGCAGCAAUGUUUAUUGUCUCUCCUCCUUUCCUCUGGUUGCGGAGUUGCUGCAAUAGCACCAAGAUCCUGGAUGGAAAGUUUUGUUGCAGAAGUGACCUGUGA